AUUGAACGCUGGCGGCAUGCCUUACACAUGCAAGUCGAACGGUAACGGGCCUUCGGGUGCCGACGAGUGGCGAACGGGUGAGUAAUAUAUCGGAACGUACCUUUCAGUGGGGGAUAACGUAGCGAAAGUUACGCUAAUACCGCAUAUUCUGUGCGCAGGAAAGCAGGGGACCUUCGGGCCUUGCGCUGAUUGAGCGGCCGAUAUCAGAUUAGCUAGUUGGUGAGGUAAAGGCUCACCAAGGCGACGACCUGUAGCGGGUCUGAGAGGAUGAUCCGCCACACUGGAACUGAGACACGGUCCAGACUCCUACGGGAGGCAGCAGGGGGGAAUUUUGGACAAUGGGGGCAACCCUGAUCCAGCCAUGCCGCGUGAGUGAAGAAGGCCUUCGGGUUGUAAAGCUCUUUCGGCCGGGAAGAAAUCGUAUGGGCUAAUACCCUGUGCGGAUGACGGUACCGGCAUAAGAAGCACCGGCUAACUACGUGCCAGCCGCCGCCGUAACAC
rnacentral:rRNA from 1 species